AACGCUAGCUACAGGCUUAACACAUGGCAAGUCGAGGGGCAGCGGGGAGUAGCAAUACUCUGCCGGCGACCGGCGAAAGGGUGCGUAACGCGUGAGCGACAUACCCGUGACUGGGGCAUAACCGAUGGAAACGUUGACUAAUUCCCCAUAACACAUCGUGCUGCAUGGCAUGGUGUUGAAAAUUUCGAUGGUCACGGAUUGGCUCGCGUCUGAUUAGCUAGUUGGUGGGGUAACGGCUCACCAAGGCGACGAUCAGUAGGGGUUCUGAGAGGAAGGUCCCCCACAAUGGAACUGAGACACGGUCCAUACUCCUACGGGAGGCAGCAGUGAGGAAUAUUGGUCAAUGGGCGGAAGCCUGAACCAGCCAUGCCGCGUGCAGGAUGACGGCCCUAUGGGUUGUAAACUGCUUUUGCUGUGGAGCAAUAAGGGUCACGCGCUGACCCGAUGAGAGUACACAGCGAAUAAGCAUCGGCUAACUCCGUG
rnacentral:rRNA from 1 species